rnacentral:rRNA from 1 species
GAUGAACGCUGGCGGCGUGCCUAAUACAUGCAAGUCGAACGCUGAAGGAAGGAGCUUGCUCUUUCCGGAUGAGUUGCGAACGGGUGAGUAACGCGUAGGUAGCCUGCCUGGUAGCGGGGGAUAACUAUUGGAAACGAUAGCUAAUACCGCAUAACAGUAGAUGUUGCAUGAUAUCUACUUAAAAGGUGCCAUUGCACCACUACCAGAUGGACCUGCGUUGUAUUAGCUAGUUGGUGAGGUAACGGCUCACCAAGGGGACGAUACAUAGCCGACCUGAGAGGGUGAUCGGCCACACUGGGACUGAGACACGGCACAGACGCCCACGGGAGGCAGCAGUAGGGAAACUUGGGCAAUGGGCGGAAAUCUGACCGAGAAACGCCGCGUGAGUGAAGAAGGUUUUCGGAUCGUAAAGGUCUGUUGUAAGAGAAGAAAGAGUGUGGGAGUGGAAAGUUCACACUGUGACGGUAUCUUACCAGAAAGGGACGGCUAACUACGUG